GCUGCCGUUGUCUCGUCUUCAUGUAGGAGUCGCACUUUGGCGCUCUGAUUUCAAGGGCGAAGUUCAAAGGACCUUCUUAACUGGCCCCGUGGCUUUGGUCAGGGCUCUGCUAAUAAGCAAUGGAAAGGAAGAUGCCCAGCUGGGAGAAAGGGCUAAGAGCACUGCAAAACCCCAGCGCUGGACUUCGUUUGUCCGGUGAACCAUGCAGAGCACAGGAAGACGAUCCUAAGCUGCUGGGAGCCCCCGUGAAGUCAGAGCUGCGUGUCCAGUCUGCCCACUGAGACUAAACAGACGCCAGCUGCAGCACAGGAGGUGAAGAAAUUGGACAGAAUGGCUCCAACACCUGCUCCGAAUCACCCAAUGCAGAGACAGUGCUGAGAUUUGGUUCCGGAAGUCUAGCUCUACAGCCUGAAUCCCUUGCCUUUGUCCUCAUGACACAUUUUUUGCCUCAAAAGUGAUAGGAAUAAAGCAGAAUACUUCAAUGGAGGAGAACAAAGGCUAAACCCAGUUUCCACCUAUGACAGCUAAAAAUCAAGGUCAAUCCCAGGUGAAUGUCCCUCUGCCAUGCUGUCCUGCCUUGGAGCCAGCUGAU